UGUCGUCAGCUCGUGUCGUGAGAUGUUGGGUUAAGUCCCGUAACGAGCGCAACCCUUGUCCUUAGUUACCAGCACGUUAUGGUGGGCACUCUAAGGAGACUGCCGGUGACAAACCGGAGGAAGGUGGGGAUGACGUCAAGUCAUCAUGGCCCUUACGGCCUGGGCUACACACGUGCUACAAUGGUCGGUACAAAGGGUUGCCAAGCCGCGAGGUGGAGCUAAUCCCAUAAAACCGAUCGUAGUCCGGAUCGCAGUCUGCAACUCGACUGCGUGAAGUCGGAAUCGCUAGUAAUCGUGGAUCAGCAUGCCACGGUGAAUACGUUCCCGGGCCGUU
rnacentral:rRNA from 1 species